GGGUUAGUAGGUUGGUCAUGCCUCUGGUAUGUACUGGUCUCACUGAUUCCUCCUUCCUGAUGAGCCGUAAUGCCAUUAAUUUGGUGUUGCGGGGAAUUUGAACUGUUACUUUGAAGAAAUUAGAGUGCUCAAAGCAAGCCUACGCUCUGGAUACAUUAGCAUGGGAUAACAUUAUAGGAUUUCGGUCCUAUUACGUUGGCCUUCGGGAUCGGAGUA
rnacentral:rRNA from 1 species